UUUACGGAUCUUAAAUAAUAUACCGAGGCCUUGUCCAUAAAUAUUUGUAUGUACAAGUUACAUAGGAUAUAUAUGGGGUAGCGGAACAUUGGGCACAUCUCAGAUUUUUUCUUUUUAAGACUUUAGAUUAGAUUACCCCAGUGAUAAUGCUGACAUGAGUAACGAUAAAGGGUUUAUUCCCUGCCUAAAGGUUAUGGGAAUUACUUAAAGUAACGGCCUUUUAGUUUAAAUUUGCUUUACUUUACUGGGUUUUUUAGCUUUAAUUAAAAACGUGAUAAAGUAAAGUUACCUAAUGGUAUAAACGAUGGGAAAAAAAAAUUUUUUUUUUUUAGAAAAAAUUUAAGUUUUACGGUAAAUAAGAAUGGAUACUUAUGGAAACACAUUGAACGCGUAAAGUUGAAAAGUGUGUUUAAGUUUUCUUUAAAGAAAAAAAAAAAUAUUUAGUGGGUUUUGACUAAACACACUAUAUAAAUAAAAACAGCAUUUGUGUUGGUAUACUAGAGCUAGGGUACCUGUUAAAAUAGUAACUGAAAGUAAGGUGAUAGUUACUAACUAAAGUGACAAAUGCUCUGGAAAAACGUAAAACUAGCAUGCUUAAUUAGAGUAUAGACGAGGCGGAUCGUCCCUUGUCUAUAAAAAGCUAUAG
rnacentral:rRNA from 1 species